rnacentral:rRNA from 1 species
AGUGAACGCUGGCGGCGUGCCUAAUACAUGCAAGUCGAACGGAGUGGCGCACGGGUGAGUAAUGUAUAGCUAAUAUGCCCUACACUAGAGGACAACCGUUGGAAACGACUGCUAAUACUCUAUAGUGUAGGAUGAGGCUAUAUUGUAUCAGCUAGUUGGUGAGGUAAUGGUGCACCAAGGCUAUGACGCAUAACUGGUCUGAGAGGAUGAGCCAUCACACGGGUACUAGGACACGUGCCAGACUCCUACGGGAUGCAGCAGUAGGGAAUAUUGCUCGAUGGGGGAAACCCUGAAGCAGCAACGCCGCGUGGAGGAUGACACUUUUCGGAGCGUAAACUCCUUUUGUUAGGGAAGCGUUACCUAACGAAUAAGCACCGGCUAACUCCGUGCCAGCAGCCGCGGUAAUA